GGUCGAUGAUGUGAUGUAAAAGGUCUGAAGCCCUGAUCUCCGCCUCAGCGGCCAUUUUGGCUCCCAGCAGCCCCCGCUCUUCGCCCGGCGUGGCUCGAGUGAGGCGGCGCCGGUCGCGGGGGGCCGCUGACACACACAGGAUGUGACAUCACAGAGCCGGCGAGAGACUCCGCCGGCUCGCCGCGAUGACGCACAUCCAACACGAGCGACCAGCAGGGGGCGUGUGGCGCUGGGGGCGGGGCCUGGCCGGUGAUCUCACACCUCCACUGAGACC
ensembl:scaRNA small Cajal body-specific RNA 6